UACAGAGACUGCAAGCGUUAUUCGGAUUCACUGGGCGUAAAGGGUGCGCAGGCGGUUGUGUGUGUCAGGUGUGAAAGCCCGGGGCUUAACCCCGGAAUUGCGCCUGAAACUACAUGACUAGAGCAUUGGAGAGGGUAGCGGAAUUCACGGUGUAGCAGUGAAAUGCGUAGAUAUCGAGAGGAACACCAGAGGCGAAGGCGGCUACCUGGACAAUUGCUGACGCUCAGGCACGAAAGCGUGGGGAGCAAAAGGG
rnacentral:rRNA from 1 species